GAAUGUAGAAACACACAUGUGAUGGAUCAGUAUGGUAUAUUGCAUAUACAUUCAUCACUGUGAAAGUUGUGGUUUCAUUGUAUUCCAGGUAUGCACAUUUUAGUCUGUGGCAAGCUGCACUUGCAAUAUUUGCAAGCUAAUGGGGUCCAUGCGGACACGGGGACUUGGAAAGUAGAACAUGCCCUAAAGGCUACAUUGCAAAUUGCAAAUGAGGCAGCAACAGAGAGGAGUUUCUAAUCAUCAAUGAGUUAGAAAAAAUGGAGCAUAUUACUUCUUUGCUUUGUCAAAUUAAAUUGUACUGUCCAUACUGCUGGUGCAAGAAUGCCUUCUGUUCUGUGAACUUCCACUUUUAGGACUCAAGGAUGGUGCAUGCUUCUGCGUCUGCGUCGUUGCGUCGAUGCACUCGUUGAAGACGACCUAGAGAGUCACGUCAAUGUGUGUGGAAGUCGUUGGUUUGUUUAUUUAUUUAUCAUAGACUUUAUUGCCCCGUGCAUCCACACUGCUGAUUGAGAGUCUUUUUUUAUGCUUCACCUGGUUGGCUCAUGACAUCACAUUCAUUUUUCUUUUUUUCUUUAGCUUUACUGUUUUUUUCCCAUGGUAUUUAAUCAAAAUGACUUGCUCAAGACCCUCGGAUUUUUCUUGUCAUGCAUCACGUUUCUCAUACAAAGUAUUUAAGCUGACAUUAAUAAAGCUGUCAUUACUCUGAAGACACUGAAUUACAUAAUAAUUCAUUCAUAAUAAGUCUUUCUCCUGCUCCCGCUCUCUCUCCCCGGGUAAAGUGUUGUAUAUCUGUCUCCAUAUUAUCAUUUAUAACUAUGUAUUAAAAUAAUUUGACGACUUGUAUAAUGUAUUUUUCAAAAGAUGAGAUGCGGUGAACUUUUAAGGUGAUUCUGACUCAUUAAAAGUUACUUCAUCUUUGAAUAGUUGUUUCCUCUUGUAAUGUCUUUUGUGGUCUUUCUAUUGAACCAUUUGACGCCAGCAUCAAACAUGCUCUCCUAUCUGAUUUGUCCAUAGAUUAAUAAUUAUCACUCGCGCUAUUUUCUGGUAGUUUUAAGCCACAAACUAAACUAAUGGUCAGUUCUGUAAAUUCCAAUUUCAAUGAUUAAAAUUGCUUCCACA
ensembl:lncRNA